rnacentral:rRNA from 1 species
CCGUAGCGUUGUAUUAGCUAGUAGGUGAGGUAAUGGCUCACCUAGGCGACGAUACAUAGCCGACCUGAGAGGGUGAUCGGCCACACUGGGACUGAGACACGGCCCAGACUCCUACGGGAGGCAGCAGUAGGGAAUCUUCGGCAAUGGGGGCAACCCUGACCGAGCAACGCCGCGUGAGUGAAGAAGGUUUUCGGAUCGUAAAGCUCUGUUGUAAGUCAAGAACGGGUGUGAGAGUGGAAAGUUCACACUGUGACGGUAGCUUACCAGAAAGGGACGGCUAACUACGUGCCAGCAGCCGCGGUAAUACGUAGGUCCCGAGCGUUGUCCGGAUUUAUUGGGCGUAAAGCGAGCGCAGGCGGUUUGAUAAGUCUGAAGUUAAAGGCUGUGGCUCAACCAUAGUUCGCUUUGGAAACUGUCAAACUUGAGUGCAGAAGGGGAGAGUGGAAUUCCAUGUGUAGCGGUGAAAUGCGUAGAUAUACGGAGGUCGACGCGGC